rnacentral:rRNA from 1 species
GACGAACGCUGGCGGCGUGCUUAACACAUGCAAGUCGAACGGAAAGGCCCUGCUUUUGUGGGGUGCUCGAGUGGCGAACGGGUGAGUCACACGUGAGUAACCUGCCCUUGACUUUGGGAUAACUUCAGGAAACUGGGGCUAAUACCGGAUAGGAGCUCCUGCUGCAUGGUGGGGGUUGGAAAGUUUCGGCGGUUGGGGAUGGACUCGCGGCUUAUCAGCUUGUUGGUGGGGUAGUGGCUUACCAAGGCUUUGACGGGUAGCCGGCCUGAGAGGGUGACCGGCCACAGGGGGACGGAGAUACGGCCCAGACCCAUACGGGAGGCAGCAGUGGGGAAUAUUGCACAAUGGGCGGAAGCGUGAUGCAGCAACGCCGCGUGCGGGAUGACGGCCUUCGGGUUGUAAACCGCUUUCGCCUGUGACGAAGCGUGGGUGACGGUAAUGGGGAAAGAAGCACCGGCUAACUACGU